UACAGAGGUCUCAAGCGCUGUUCGGAUUCAUUGGGCGUAAAGGGUGUGUAGGUGGCGCCGUAAGUCGGGUGUGAAAUUUCGGAGCUUAACUCCGAAACUGCAUUCGAUACUGCGGUGCUUGAGGACUGGAGAGGAGACUGGAAUUCAUGGUGUAGCAGUGAAAUGCGUAGAGAUCAUGAGGAAGACCAGUGGCGAAGGCGGGUCUCUGGGCCGAUACUGACGCUGAGGAGCGAAAGCGUGGGGAGCGAACAGG
rnacentral:rRNA from 1 species